rnacentral:rRNA from 1 species
AUGACAGAGGACAGCGGCGACAACGGUGCCCAAGCCAUCGACGCGCUGCUAUCCAGGUCCCUCUUCCUCAUUAGCGACGGUGGCAACGAUAUGUUUGACUUCUUCCUGAAGAAACGGUCGCCUUUUGAGGUACCGGCCUUCUACAAGGACCUUCUGUCCAACUACACCAAGUAUGUGAAGACGCUGUACGGGCUCGGGGCGCGGCGUUUCGGUGUCAUCAACGUGGCUCCCAUCGGCUGCGCGCCGGCGGCGCGGGCGAGAUCCCCGUUCGGCGACGGCUACUGCGAAUUUUUUUCCAAUAAACUCGCCAGGGACUUCGACAGCGCCUUGGGCGACGCGAUGGCGAACCUCGCCGCGUCGCUGCCCGGGAUGAAGUACUCCGUGGGGAGCCCCUACCAGCUGGUGGAAUACUACACCGCGCACCCGGAGGCCGCCGGGUUCAAGGUUGUGAACAGCGCGUGCUGCGGCGGCGGGAAGCUCAACGCGGAGACCCUCUGUGGCUCCCCCAAUACCACCUACUGCGCCCACCGCGACGAGCACAUGUUCUGGGACAUGAUGCACGGCACCCAGGCCACCUGGAUCAAGGGCGCCGCGGACAUCUACGACGCGCCGGUGGAGCGAGGAUUCACGUCACCCAUCAAUUUCAAGCAGCUGCUUCUUGAUGACGAACGCGCAGUGUCAGCUGCUAAUUUGCUUGUGAGUGUGUGA